UGCGGAAUUCGUGGUGUAGCGGUGAAAUGCUUAGAUAUCACGAAGAACUCCGAUUGCGAAGGCAGCUCACUAAACUGUAACUGACGUUCAUGCUCGAAAGUGUGGGUAUCAAACAGGAUUAGAUACCCUGGUAGUCCACACGGUAAACGAUGGAUACUCGCUGUUGGCGAUAUACGGUCAGCGGCCAAGCGAAAGCGUUAAGUAUCCCACCUGGGGAGUACGCCGGCAACGGUGAAACUCAAAGGAAUUGACGGGGGCCCGCACAAGCGGAGGAACAUGUGGUUUAAUUCGAUGAUACGCGAGGAACCUUACCCGGGCUUAAAUUGCAAAGGAAUUGCGUGGAAACAUGCAAGUCUUCGGACCUUUGUGAAGGUGCUGCAUGGUUGUCGUCAGCUCGUGCCGUGAGGUGUCGGCUUAAGUGCCAUAACGAGCGCAACCCUCGCCGCCAGUUACUAACAGUUAAAGCUGAGGACUCUGGCGGGACUGCCAUCGUAAGAUGUGAGGAAGGUGGGGAUGACGUCAAAUCAGCACGACCCUUACGUCCGGGGCUACACACGUGUUACAAUGGGCGGUACAGAAGGCAGCUACCUGGCGACAGGAUGCCAAUCCCUAAAGCCGCUCUCAGUUCGGACUGGAGUCUGCAACCCGACUCCACGAAGCUGGAUUCGCUAGUAAUCGCGCAUCAGCCACGGCGCGGUGAAUACGUUCCCGGGCCUUGUACACACCGCCCGUCAAGCCAUG
rnacentral:rRNA from 1 species